rnacentral:rRNA from 1 species
AAGUCGAACGAGAAAGUGGAGCAAUCCAUGAGUAAAGUGGCGCACGGGUGAGUAACACGUGACUAACCUACCCUUGAGUGGGGGAUAACUGAGGGAAACCUUAGCUAAUACCGCAUAAUACCCACGGGUCAAAGGAGCAAUUCGCUCGAGGAGGGGGUCGCGGCCGAUUAGUUAGUUGGCGGGGUAAUGGCCCACCAAGACGAUGAUCGGUAUCCGGCCUGAGAGGGCGCACGGACACACUGGAACUGAAACACGGUCCAGACUCCUACGGGAGGCAGCAGUGGGGAAUUUUGCGCAAUGGGGGAAACCCUGACGCAGCAACGCCGCGUGGAGGAUGAAGUCCUUCGGGACGUAAACUCCUUUCGAUCGGGACGAUUAUGACGGUACCGGAAGAAGAAGCCCCGGCUAACUUCGUGCCAGCAGCCGCGGUAAUACGAGGGGGGCGAGCGUUGUUCGGAAUUAUUGGGCGUAAAGGGUGCGUA